AUUAUCGUCAGGUUGGUUUGCUUCUUUAAGGAGAUUCUUCUUUUUGGAUGUUUGCUCUUAAUGUGUAACUCUGUUUAUUCUGUGAGACUAUGACAGAUUGUGACAGUGUGACUAUGUCACUGUCUUAAUAGUUCAGUAAAAAUGUGAAUUUUAUCACAUUCUUUGGCAAAAAAAUUUAUAACUGGACAAAAUUAUAAAGUUUAUCUAUAUUGUUUCCUUUUCCUAUGGUGAUUAUAGCUUAUUCAUUUGACAAAGCUUAUUCUACCUUCCAAAAUUGUUACUGUGUUUAUUCUGUGACUAUGGUGUUACUAUAUUAAUCGUUUGAUAGUUCAGUAAAAAUGUGAAUUUUAUUACAUUAUUUGGCUAAGUGGAGAAAUUAUAAAGUUGAUAUGUCUUGUUUCUUCUUCCCGUGGUGGUUCUGUGACUAACGUUACUAUUUCAAGUGAAAAUGUGAAUCUUAUUGCAUUCUUUGGUAAAUAAUUUAUGUGGACGACAAACAUUAUAAAUUAUAAACGUAUUGCUUCAUUCUUCUCAUGGUGGUUGCAGUUGCAAAUAGAUUCAAUGGUGGCAGAGAAGAGACAGCUUCCAAUUCGGCUAUUUACUCGUGGGACAGAGCCGGCGCCUAGGAAGAGUAUGAAUUACCAUUCUCAUAUGGAAAAAAUGGAUAAGGUUUUCAGCAAACUGGGAAUGGAUGCGUGGCUGAACUUGAGGAAUUCUUGUCUUGGUGUUUUCGUGACGUUUUACGAGAAAAAAUUCGUCUUUGCGGGUAGGAUCGUGCAGCAUUUGCUUCUUCGUC
rnacentral:lncRNA from 1 species